CUUUAUUAACAUUAAAAAAGUUGAAGAGAAGCUGCACAUGAAUAAGAACUUUACAUUAUUCGCACAUGUUAGUGUCUCUGCAUGAAAAGAUAAACAAAUACAAAAUAUUUGGAUAACCUUGUAGCUCAGUAUCAGGAAAGAAAUAUCGGAGUUUGCAUGUACAUGAAUCUUUAGUUUCAUAUAAAUCUGAGUUUGUGUGGUUCAAACCUCACAGAGUAAGGCGAGUUUACAAGCAGCUGCUGAUCCUGAAGUUAAAAAUACAAAAACACUCACAGAUUCAGAGAUUAUUGCACAUGACUUCAUACAUGUUUGUAACAGUUUAACAUUGUUUCAGUAAAUCCCAGGAACAACAGCACAGACAAACACUCUGAGUGUCAACAUGAUAUCAGAGAAAUGAUAAAGAUAAUCAAACUCUGGAUGUUUCUAAUCUACAGCCUGUCCUCAGAUCAUCCAACUCAUAGUUCUGCUGUGGAGUCUGACGAGGUGGAGUAGUGUUUCGGGACAGUCGACAUUUGUAUGUGCAAAACCCAACAACAGCAAUCACAAGACAAAGUGACAGAGCAACUCCCAGUCCACAUGUCAGUUCAUAUAAUCCAUCCUUUCUGUGCCAUCCUGUCUGACCUGCAGGUGAGAAACAGGUGUGAGGUGUCAGCUGUCAGGUAGGUGAUGAGUGAAGAACAGAACAGAAUCCAUUUCCUCUUCAAACUGCUGUCAGACAUUAUCUACUGCACUCUGAUCACAUCACUCAGACCAGCUGCUUUCUACAAAGUCUCAUCAACAACCAGGAAGCAGCUUCACCUCUGAUCACACACACACUCAACUCUACUCACUCACCUGGAGGAACAACAUGAAGGUAGAUGAUGCUUGUGAUGUCUUCAUGCCAGUGUGUUCGUCUCAUGAUGACACGACACUCAUAUGUUCCACUAUCAGCAGCCCUCACAUCCUUCAGAAUCAAAGACACGUCUCCAUCCUUCAUCCGUCUGUCCCACAGAUCCACCCGGUUCUUAAAAUAUGGAUGCUGGUUGUCUGGAAGAAAGUAUCCAUCCCGGUACAAGAGCACAUAUUCAUCUACCAGGUCAGCUCUGCUCCACUCAACGAGUCUGAUGUUGUUGUUUGGAGCUCGACAUGUCAGAGUGACGUCCUGUCCAGACUCAGCUGUGAUGAUUUUCUGGUCUGAAAGAGGAAACAAGACAGAGCAGAGAGGUUAAAGGUCAAAGUAUGGCUGAUCACUUCUACAAUAGCCAAUCAGAGAGAGGAAGGGAGAACACUUUCUUUCCAAAUUUAAAGGUAUACAAUCAUAGUAAUAAGUGUUAUAUAGCAUAAAAUAUACUGAAACUAUAUUUCAG
ensembl:lncRNA